rnacentral:rRNA from 1 species
GCGAUCAUAUCAGCACUAAUGCAUCAGAUUCCAUCAGAACUCCGAAGUUAGUGUGCUUGGGCGAGAGUAAUACUAGGAUGGAUGACCCCUAUGAAGCCCUCAUGUUGCACCCC